rnacentral:rRNA from 1 species
UCGGGAAUUUUGGGCAAUGGGCGAAAGCCUGACCCAGCAACGCCGCGUGAGGGAUGAAGUAUUUCGGUAUGUAAACCUCGAAAGAAUGGGAAGAAUAAAUGACGGUACCAUUUAUAAGCUCCGGCUAACUACGUGCCAGCAGCCGCGGUACUACGUAGGGAGCAAGCGUUGUUCGGAUUUACUGGGCGUAAAGGGCGCGUAGGCGGCGCGGCAAGUCGCUUGUGAAAUCUCUGAGCUUAACUCAGAACGGCCAAGUGAUACUGCUGUGCUAGAGUGCGGAAGAGGCAACCGGAAUUCUUGGUGUAGCGGUGAAAUGCGUAGAUAUCAAGAGGAACACCUGAGGCGAAGGCGGGUUGCUGGGCCGACACUGACGCUGAUGCGCGAAAGCCAGGGGAGCAAA